rnacentral:ncRNA from 1 species
ACUCAUUCUUUUUCUUGCUUAUUCCAUAAAAAUGGAACAGUACAGCACAUGCCAGCAUUCGGGGUUUCGCUGCGGGUAUCAGUAUCCUGGUCAUACCAGAUGAGUCGUGAUCUCGGUCGCAACGUUUGAGUAUGGAUGUCAUGUGCGACCCAUUCUGAAGACUACGUCAAGCAGGGAUUUCGACUGGGGCGGCACAUCACUCAAGUGGUAACGCAGGUGUCCCAAGGUGAUCUUAGUCAGGACGGAAGCCUGGUGCGAAGUAGAAAGGCAAAAGCUUACUCGAUUUUGAUUUCCAUCACAAAUCCAGACCACGAAAGCGCGGCCUAUCGAUUUUUAUUUUGAUCACUGGCGGCAACAUCAGAGG